AUGUAUAUAUAUAACAACUCUCAUCGCAAUACUAGAAUUCUGUUUUUGGCACAGAACUGUCAGGAAUCAAUCAAUGUUGGAUUCUCGCACGAGGUGGCAAACGAAAGGUGUAUAAUUGUCAAACUAAAUAGGCCUGACAGUGUUCCAUUUUCAACAUACCCAGCAACAACGGUUCAGUUAGUACCAAAGGUUCAGCAACAAGUUGACUACCUUGGUGAGGACGAUCUCUUCCAGAUCGGAGUCCGAGAGCCCAACAGCAACACAGAAGACCGGAACAGAGUCCGAGAGCCCAACAGCAACACAGAAGACCGGAACAGAGUCCGAGAGCCCACUUACUCCUUGGUGCCCUUCAUGUGCGCGCGUCGUCAGUCUCCUACUCCUUGA
rnacentral:rRNA from 1 species